CAGCAGCCGCGGGAAUACGUAGGUGGCAAGCGUUAUCCGGAAUUAUUGGGCGUAAAGCGCGCGCAGGCGGUUUCUUAAGUCUGAUGUGAAAGCCCACGGCUCAACCGUGGAGGGUCAUUGGAAACUGGGGAACUUGAGUGCAGAAGAGAAAAGCGGAAUUCCACGUGUAGCGGUGAAAUGCGUAGAGAUGUGGAGGAACACCAGUGGCGAAGGCGGCUUUUUGGUCUGUAACUGACGCUGAGGCGCGAAAGCGUGGGGAGCAAACAGGAUUAGAUACCCCGGUAGUCCCUGUCUCUUAUAC
rnacentral:rRNA from 1 species